CCUACGGGAGGCAGCAGUCGAGAAUUAUUCACAAUGGGGGAAACCCUGAUGGUGCGACGCCGCGUGGGGGAAUGAAGGUCUUCGGAUUGUAAACCCCUGUCAUGUGGGAGCAAAUUAAAAAGAUAGUACCACAAGAGGAAGAGACGGCUAACUCUGUGCCAGCAGCCGCGGUAAUACAGAGGUCUCAAGCGUUGUUCGGAAUCACUGGGCGUAAGGCGUGCGUAGGCUGUUUCGUAAGUCGUGUGUGAAAGGCGCGGGCUCAACCCGCGGACGGCACAUGAUACUGCGAGACUAGAGUAAUGGAGGGGGAACCGGAAUUCUCGGUGUAGCAGUGAAAUGCGUAGAUAUCGGGAGGAACACUCGUGGCGAAGGCGGGUUCCUGGACAUUAACUGACGCUGAGGCACGAAGGCCAGGGGAGCGAAAGGGAUUAGAUACCCUAGUAGUC
rnacentral:rRNA from 1 species